AUCCAACUGGCGAGUCCUAAAUAGGAUGAAACGCGUGUCCAGGAU
rnacentral:hammerhead_ribozyme from 1 species